AGCGAACGCUGGCGGCAGGCUUAACACAUGCAAGUCGAACGGACCCUUCGGGGUUAGUGGCGGACGGGUGAGUAACACGUGGGAACGUGCCCUUAGGUUCGGAACAACACAGGGAAACUUGUGCUAAUACCGGAUGUGCCCUUCGGGGGAAAGAUUUAUCGCCUUUGGAGCGGCCCGCGUCUGAUUAGCUAGUUGGUGAGGUAACGGCUCACCAAGGCUACGAUCAGUAGCUGGUCUGAGAGGAUGGCCAGCCACAUUGGGACUGAGACACGGCCCAAACUCCUACGGGAGGCAGCAGUGGGGAAUCUUGCGCAACGGGCGAAAGCCUGACGCAGCCAUGCCGCGUGGAUGAUGAAGGUCUUAGGAUUGUAAAAUCCUUUCAGCGGGGACGAUAAUGACGGUACCCGCAGAAGAAGCCCCGGCUAACUUCGUGCCAGCCGCCGCAGUAAUAC
rnacentral:rRNA from 1 species